rnacentral:rRNA from 1 species
UGAUUCAGCGGCGGACGGGUGAGUAAUGCCUAGGAAUCUGCCUGGUAGUGGGGGACAACGUUUCGAAAGGAACGCUAAUACCGCAUACGUCCUACGGGAGAAAGCAGGGGACCUUCGGGCCUUGCGCUAUCAGAUGAGCCUAGGUCGGAUUAGCUAGUAGGUGAGGUAAUGGCUCACCUAGGCGACGAUCCGUAACUGGUCUGAGAGGAUGAUCAGUCACACUGGAACUGAGACACGGUCCAGACUCCUACGGGAGGCAGCAGUGGGGAAUAUUGGACAAUGGGCGAAAGCCUGAUCCAGCCAUGCCGCGUGUGUGAAGAAGGUCUUCGGAUUGUAAAGCACUUUAAGUUGGGAGGAAGGGCAGUAAGUUAAUACCUUGCUGUUUUGACGUUACCGACAGAAUAAGCACCGGCUAAACUCUGUGCCAGCAGCCGCGGUAAUACAGAGGGUGCAAGCGUUAAUCGGAAUUACUGGGCGUAAAGCGCGCGUAGGUGGUUCGUUAAGUUGGAUGUGAAGCCCCGGGCUCAACCUGGGAACUGCAUCCAAAAC